rfam:Cryptococcus dejecticola CBS 10117 unplaced genomic scaffold supercont1.10, whole genome shotgun sequence.
GGGCCUGUAGGAUAGGGGUUAUUCCGCUUCAUUUGCAAUGCCGUUAUAGCCAUUUAACUUGAAGAGGUCCUGGGUUCAAUUCCCAGCCGGUCCA